CAAGGCGACCGGGCCCGUCGUGCCCACCGGCCCGGGCACCUUCGCCCGGAGCGAAACCCCGCGCGUCCGCAGAGCCGAGAGCAGCGGGGCGGAGGAGCCGGGGGCAGCUGCCGCGGAGGAAGAGGAAGGUUUCUGCCGGUUCAGAAGCAGGGAGGCGAGUCCAGGAGGAGGGAAGCGACUUCCCUCAAGCAGUACGUCAGUGCAGCACAGCCAAGAAAGCAGAUCCAGUUACAAGAAAAAGCAGAGAACAGGACUUCACAGAGAUUACACUUACUCUUGGAGAACAGCAAGAAGAGCAUGUAAAAUAAGGCAGCCGCUUCUGGUGCAGAGUACAACCGCCCCAUAUAUUUAAACAUGUUACAAUAGAUUUUUAGGGCAUAAAGAGGCUCAGCUGAAAUUCUAUCACUACUUUUUAGAGCUAGGACAACUUCCAGGAGGCAUACUUCAGAAGUGAAGGAGUGAGAAGUACCACCUACAGAGUAAACAGUGUUUCUCCCUGGGAGGAGGCAGCAUGUUUUAGGUCACAUACACUCAUACAUGUACUUGAGUUAAAAAACAGAUUCUUGGAAAAUACAAUUAUAUUCCCUAAUAAGACACAGUAUGGAAAUGUGACUAUAUGAGGAUAAUUAUGUCCUGUUUAUAGGCAGUCUACUAUAAGACUGACUUGAAGAGAGUCAGCUUCUAUUCUCAGCAGUACUGCUAGUUUACUUUGGGGCACAGUGAAAUCUCAGGAGGCUCUUUUUCCCCUCCGUACUUUCAGUCUCUUUUUUGCUUUUUUUUUUUGUUUGUUUGUUUGUUUGUCUGGGGAUUAUUUGUCAGGCUAGGACUGUCUCUCUCAUGCUAGAGCUUAACACAAAGUACACUAUGCCGAACUAGGAAAUGGGCCUGCAGAUACAAUCAAAAUAGAAAUUACACAGAAAUGCGUUUGCACAGAAGACACAUUUUCCAGAUGAAGCAGACACAGAACAGGAGCCAGAAUAACCAAUCUUUAGGCCUGAAAUGAAAGAAGCUACAAUAAACCACCAGUACAACUGUGAACACUGUACUGCAGAGCUAGAAUCAAAGCCUUGAUGCCAAGAUGCACUCUGUGGGACAUUCCCCCUGCAUGGCUGAUAGCCCUCAGAAGAAAAUGCUAACCUAAGGCUUUGCAAAUCUUCUCCACCAAAAUUUGCAAUUAAUUUAAAAAUAGAGGAGGAAAAAAUAAAUUUAAGCUAAAAGGCAAUCGUCACAGACACCUUUAAUUCUGCUGCUACGUAGCACUGCCAUUGACAAUUGAGUAGAAAGUACAAGGAUUUAAAAAAACAUGGAAACAGAACAUCUGUUGCUUUGCUAAUUGGGUUCUUCCCAUAAUACAUGCCUAGGAAUGUAUGACAUGCUUAGCUGAAGAUACUGAUGGGUCUGCAUAAAGAUCCCAGUGCCCAGCACACAGGAUCUGAACUGUGACCACACAGAUGUGGUCUUUAUAUACACUUGCUAUCAACUAUAUACAUACAGUAAAAUGUAUAAAAAUAUAGACAUAUAUUAUUAUAUAUAAAUCACAGUGAGAACACUACCUCUGGCCUGGCACACUCCAAUUCUCUCCAGCAGCAGCACAGAUUUCCAACACACAGUUAUUAAGACUGCUUUUCAGAAAUACUCCUUUCAACAGAAAGUCUUAUGAGGAAGAGACUAAUCCUAAAAACAUGUUGUACAACUCUGCCCUCUUUUCUGCCUUUAGUUAUGAAAAUAUCUAUAGCAGUUCUUAGGUGGACACACCUCACUCAUUCU